rnacentral:SRP_RNA from 1 species
GCACAUUGGCACACACAUGUAGUCUCAGAAACUCAGGAAGCUGAGGCUGGAGGAUGGCUUGAGCUCAGGCAUUCUGACCUGUGGUACACUAUGCAAUUGUGCUAAGUUUAGCAUAAAUAUGGUGACCUCCUAGGAGGGGAAGUGGGGACCACCACGUUGUCUAAGGAGUUGUGAACUGACCCAGGUCAGAAACGAAGCUUGUCAAAACUCCCAUGCUGAUCAGUAGUGGGGUUGUGGCUGUGAAUAGCCACUGAACUCCAACCUGGGCAACAUAGUGAGACUCUCUCUCU